AGAGUGAACGCUGGCGGUAGGCCUAACACAUGCAAGUCGAACGGCAGCACAGUAGGAGCUUGCUCUUACGGGUGGCGAGUGGCGGACGGGUGAGGAAUACAUCGGAAUCUACCUUUUGGUGGGGGAUAACGUAGGGAAACUUACGCUAAUACCGCAUACGCCCUUCGGGGGAAAGCCGGGGACCAGCAAUGGCCUGGCGCUGAUAGAUGAGCCGAUGUCGGAUUAGCUAGUUGGUGAGGUAAUGGCUCACCAAGGCGACGAUCCGUAGCUGGUCUGAGAGGAUGAUCAGCCACACUGGAACUGACGACACGGUCCAGACU
rnacentral:rRNA from 1 species